AUUGAACGCUGGCGGCAGGCCUAACACAUGCAAGUCGAACGGUAACAGGAAGCAGCUUGCUGCUUCGCUGACGAGUGGCGGACGGGUGAGUAAUGUCUGGGAAGCUGCCUGAUGGAGGGGGAUAACUACUGGAAACGGUAGCUAAUACCGCAUAAUGUCUCAAGACCAAAGAGGGGGACAUUCGGGCCUCUUGCCAUCGGAUGUGCCCAGAUGGGAUUAGCUUGUUGGUGGGGUAACGGCUCACCAAGGCGACGAUCCCUAGCUGGUGUGAGAGGAUGACCAGCCACACUGGAACUGAGACACGGUCCAGACUCCUACGGGAGGCAGCAGUGGGGAAUAUUGGACAAUGGGCGCAAGCCUGAUGCAGCCAUGCCGCGUGUAUGAAGAAGGCCUUCGGGUUGUAAAGUACGUUCAGCGGGGAGGAAGGGAGUAAAGUUAAUACCUUUGCUCAUUGACGUUACCCGCAGAAGAAGCACCGGCUAACUCCGUG
rnacentral:rRNA from 1 species